rnacentral:rRNA from 1 species
GACGAACGCUGGCGGCAUGCCUAACACAUGCAAGUCGAACGGUAAGGCCUCUUCGGAGGUACACGAGUGGCGAACGGGUGAGUAACACGUGGGUAACCUGCCCUUCACUGGGGGACAACCGAGGGAAACUUCGGCUAAUACCGCAUAACGUGCGCUGUUUUAAGACGGCGUACCAAAACUCCGGUGGUGAAGGAUGGGCCCGCGCCAGAUUAGCUUGUUGGGUGGGGUAAUGGCCUACCAAGGCGACGAUCGUAGCUGGUCUGAGAGGACGAUCAGCCACACUGGAACUGAGACACGGUCCAGACUCCUACGGGAGGGCAGCAGUGGGGAAUUUUGCGCAAUGGGGGGAAACCCGUGACGCAGCAACGCCGCGUGGAGGAUGAAGUCCCUUGGGACGUAAACUCCUUUCGAUCGGGACGAUUAUG